rnacentral:rRNA from 1 species
CACGUAGGGGGUUUCUAAAACAUGCAGGUCGCACGAGAAAUCCUGGGCAACUGGGAAAGUAAAGUGGCGCACGGGUGAGUAACGCGUGGGUAACCUACCCUCAGGUGGGGGAUAACUUCGCGAAAGCGGGGCUAAUACCGAAUAACAUGCCGAUUCCCACGGGAGUUGGUAUCAAAGGUGGCCUCUGCAUGCAAGCUACCGCCUAAGGAUGGGCCCGCGUACCAUUAGCUAGUUGGCAGGGUAAUGGCCUACCAAGGCAACGAUGGUUAGCUGGUCUGAGAGGAUGGCCAGCCACACUGGAACUGAGACACGGUCCAGACUCCUACGGGAGGCAGCAGUGGGGAAUCUUGCGCAAUGGGGGAAACCCUGACGCAGCAACGCCGCGUGGGUGAUGAAGGCCUUCGGGUCGUAAAGCCCUGUCAGGUGGGAAGAAUCAUAUCGAUUCGAACAGGGUCGAUAUCUGACGGUACCACCGGAGGAAGCACCGGCUAACUCCGUGCCAGCAGCCGCGGUAAUACGGAGGGUGCAAGCGUUGUUCGGAAUUACUGGGCGUAAAGCGCGUGUAGGCGGUCGAGCAAGUCAGAUGUGAAAGCCUUCCGCUUAACGGAAGAAGUGCAUUUGAAACUACUCGGCUGGAGUACGGGAGAGGAGAGUGGAAUUCCCGGUGUAGAGGUGAAAUUCGUAGAUAUCGGGAGGAACACCAGUGGCGAAAGCGGCUCUCUGGUCCGAUACUGACGCUGAUACGCGAAAGCGUGGGGAGCAAACAGGAUUAGAUACCCUGGUAGUCCACGCCGUAAACGAUGGACACUAGGUGUGGGAGGUAUUGACCCCUUCCGUGCCGAAGCUAACGCAUUAAGUGUCCCGCCUGGGGAGUACGACCGCAAGGUUAAAACUCAAAGGAAUUGACGG